rnacentral:miRNA from 1 species
AAGAGAUGAUGAGAGGGGAGGAUGGAAGAGAGGAGUAACAAAAGUGAAAACAAUUUGAAAUAGAUUUCAGUUUUUAGUUUUUGUUUUUAGUUUUGUUACUCCUCCUUCCCAUCCUCCCCUCUUAUCUUUCAUC